UACGGAGGGUGCGAGCGUUGUUCGGAAUUAUUGGGCGUAAAGCGCGUGUAGGCGGUUUUUUAAGUCUGAUGUGAAAGCCCUGGGCUCAACCCGGGAAGUGCAUUGGAAACUGGGAGACUUGAAUACGGGAGAGGGCAGUGGAAUUCCUGGUGUAGGAGUGAAAUCCGUAGAUAUCAGGAGGAACACCAGUGGCGAAAGCGGCCUCCUGGCCCAUUUCUGACGCUCAGACACGAAAGCUAAGGUAGCAAACGGG
rnacentral:rRNA from 1 species